UACGAAGGGGGCUAGCGUUGUUCGGAAUUACUGGGCGUAAAGCGCACGUAGGCGGACAUUUAAGUCAGGGGUGAAAUCCCAGAGCUCAACUCUGGAACUGCCUUUGAUACUGGGUGUCUUGAGUAUGGAAGAGGUGAGUGGAAUUCCGAGUGUAGAGGUGAAAUUCGUAGAUAUUCGGAGGAACACCCGUGGCGAAGGCGGCUCUCUGGGACGGUACUGACGCUGAGACGCGAAAGCGUGGGGAGCGAACAGG
rnacentral:rRNA from 1 species